GAAACGUUUGAUUUGGAACAGCGAGCUUGAGUAUUACAUUGUGAUGUCGAAUGGGAAGCAGCGGGUUGAGUCGGAGACGAAGAAACUGAAGCUUGAAGGAUACCAGGCUGACCUUGCCCAUAUUCCGGAGCUUCUGAUCACAGAGCUGGCGGUUGAUACGAAGAAUAUAGGACGCGCAGACGGUUAUGAAUUUAUUGAGAUUUUUAAUACGACUGACAGAACGAUUGAUUUUAAAGACUACCAUAUCCGUUACCGCUACCCAAAAGAAGGGCCUGACUCCGAUCUGAUUUGGAGACCUGAUGAAAGGAUCUUGAUACCAUCCGGCGAAACGUUUGUCGUCUGGCUGAAGCCUGCCGGGCAUCCAGAAUUGACGUCAGCGGAUUUCAAUCGUUAUUAUCAGACACAACUAAAAGAAGGAAAAAAUCUUGCGGUGAUAGACGAGACAGAGGGUAUGGCCAAUACGAGGCCGCGGGCCGUUGUGAUAUCAACGAAUACAGGAAAGGACAUUUCGGUUGCGCAUUAUCGGAAACAUGCGCUGCGUCGGCUGUCAUCAGUGCUUUAUAAGUAUCCACUGAACGGAACAGCAGAACUUCUGAACAUUUCAAUCGGGGAAAAGAAUCCGUCUCCCGGAACCGUAUUACAGGCACAGGUGCCCGACCAGAAACGGAAAAUCAAGCUCGAUAAAGAAAAGCCGGUUAUUGAGGAUUUGACUGACCGCAAGCCUGUCCGCCCUGCUGAAAGCAUUGAGCUGCGGGCUGACAUACGGGACCGAAGUCUAGUGAAAACAGCUGCCUUUUACUACCGGACGGAUGAGAACAAACCGUUUAAGCGAAUUCUUGCUGAAAAAGACCGUAACGAUAAUCUCUACCAUUAUAUUGUGUAUUCGCCUGAAUUGAUCGGGAAGGAUCAACUAGAGUAUUAUGUGGCGGCCGGGGACGGGAUCAAUGAAGCGAGAACGCCGGUCAAAAUGAUUGAUAUUAAACAAACAAGCAAGGCGCACGGUCUGCGGUUGAAUAUUGAAAACAGAGACACGCUGUCGGGAACUCAAUUUCUCAAAGCCACGACAGAAGGGCGAGCUGACCGCAUUAAGCUAUGGAUUGACGGGAGAAAACAAGUGACAGAGCCCGCGAUGGAAAAAGAAGUAUAUUUUGCAUUCGAUACGAGGAAAACGAACCUUUAUUUUAAAAACGCGGUAACGAUGGAAGGCAAAGUGCUGAAGGUGUUCGAUGAUACAACAAAUAAAUACCGCACCUAUUCUGUUCCAUUGCCAGAGACACUGCUUCGGAAAGGGAAGCAGCUGCAGCGUAUUACGAUACGUUCAGGUUCGAAGGUGUCUCCGUUUGAUACUGCUGAAAACCGUGAUGACUUCUUAGUCAAAAACGCCCGAUUGGUGUUAUCAGAUGGAACGGUGAUCAGGGAUCAGAGGGUGUCCCCUGAGAAGGAACUCUUUAUUGGCGAUAAUCAGCGCUCAAAUAAAAGCUGGCAAUUUCAGUUCAAUCUGCCUGACGGACUAUUUACAUCACAGCUGCUGGAGUGGGAUACAUCAAAGCUUUCUGAAGGCGCUCACCAUAUUCAAGCAAGCGACGGGAAGGAAAAUGUCAGCCUGGUUGUACGGGUAGAUAAUUCAGGACCUCACAUUGAGCCGAAUAUCACCGAGGGGCAAACGUAUAAAGGAAACCUUAUCCUGCAGGCGGAUAUGUAUGAUAAAUGGAGCAGAAUUGAGGAAGCGGAGGCGUCGUUAGAUGGAGAAAGCAUUACACUCCCAUAUCAUACGUCAUCUUCUGACCUUUUGCCGGGAAAACAUUCUCUAAAAGUGACAGCAACGGAUCUCGCGGGCAAUAAAACAGUGAUUGAGAGGAUAUUUAAAACCGAACGAGAGCAUCCGGACCAGCCGGAGGUUAUAGACAGCGAAGCCGACACGCAUAAGGCCAAGAUUUCUGUACGGGUGAAAGAUCCGACGAAUGAUGCCAUGGAUGUUGGUUUUUAUAGGGGAUUUCAAUAUACAGCGCGCAAUCAUGUGAAAAUAUUUAAGCACGCGUCACUGACUGAACCGCCGAAAAGCUUUGUGCCGGAAAGGGAGACCCCAUUUACGAAUAAAGAAUUGGAGCGGGUAUCAGCUGCUGAUGGAAAAACAGUAUCGACAGAAAACAAAGAGCUUUUCCCUUAUCAUCGCUUUGAAGUGACGGUUGAUCCAUCAAUUGAUGAGAAUGAUCUGGCAGAAGCAGUCUGGAAGGGCAGUUCUUUGCCGGGGAGAAAGGUGACGAUGUAUGCUUGGAAUUAUCGGACAAACGAAUGGCAGCCUGUUGACAGCUUCGUAGCGAAGGAUGACAAACCGUUUACGCUGAAAGCGUCUGUGAUUGCCGCCGAUUUUGUACGGGAGUCGAAAAUGAAUGUGAUUGUACAGGAUGAAAUUCCUCCUGCGAAGGAUAUGUACACAUUUGUCUGGAUGUCUGAUACACAGUAUUACGCCGAAAGCUAUCCGCAUAUUUUUGAUAAACAGACCGAAUGGAUAAAAGAUAAUCAAAAGCAGCUCAAUAUCAAAUAUGUGUUCCACACGGGUGAUAUUGUAGAUGAUUCCGCCGAUAUCAGACAGUGGAAAAACGCUGAUCGGUCAAUGUCCGUUCUGGAUAAGAGCGGAAUUCCUUACGGCGUGCUGGCCGGCAAUCACGAUGUCGGACAUAAGGACGGCUCCUACAGGGCGUUUGGCAAAUAUUUUGGCAGCGAUCGUUUUGAUAAAAAAUUGCAUUAUGGCGGUUCCUAUAAAAAUAACCGCGGACAUUAUGACCUGAUUUCUAGCAACGGCAAUGAUUAUAUCAUGCUGUACAUGGGAUGGGGCAUUACGGAUGAAGACAUCGCGUGGAUGAAUCAGGUGCUGAAGAAACACCCUGACCGGAUGGCCAUUUUAGCUUUUCAUGAGUAUUUGCUGGU
rnacentral:rRNA from 1 species